ensembl:lncRNA
CCCACUUCCUGCCUGCUUCUGGCCCCUGCUCCUGUGCCUGGUCUCCAGUCUCACUCCCACACCGCACCUGGGCCUCCUCUAGCCCUGUCUUCUGCCCGAGGCCGCAAUGUGCCAGGGUUGUAAGUGCCAAAGAAAACCACCUUUGUCUGGCUAAGACACUAACUGCUGGGCUCAGCUACUGCAGGAAAAGCAGCCCUGAUCAGCGAUCCUCCAGCCUCCCACAGACUGCGACAUCUGACAUCUUCAGAUAACACCCAAGCAUGGGCAGGGACUGGCCAAUCCUGUUCUUUAAAGUGAAACAGUGUUUACUGUUCAAGGAGAUAGCCCCUUUUCUAAAGAAUUACAGGGACUGGCCUAAGAGAAGAAAGUCGAUUGUUGUCUCCAGGGCGUUCUGGCAGGAGAGAAAGGAAAACUCAGGCCCCGAUGACCAGAGGCCCUCAGCACACGCCCGCCCGGCCUCCUGCCCUUGGCCCUGGAGCUCUCUUUCCACUUCUGCUACCUGGGUCCCCUAACGAGGCUUGCUGGGGGACCAUGGCGCCCGCUCUCCUUCCUGUCCACUGAUCUCCCGAGCAUUGGCUUCUGAGUGGCGAGCGGGUGGUCUCGGGUCCAGCGGCGCAGUCCCUUGGAGAGCAGCGGCUUUGUGAUCAGCAGUCAGGUCCACAGCUGCUCAGGGGUGACCUUUCUCUGAGUCAAGGAAACUCCGGGACUUCAGCACUGCGCUGGUGCUCAGAGGCCCAGUCUCUCAGGAACACAGGAAAGCAGGCCAAACACGAACACACAGCAAGCGCCCGGCGCCUCUGGGACCCAUCUGCUCACCUGGUGCUCUCGGCCUCUUGGAUCCGGAGUCACUGGGUCUCCUCACUCACUUGUCGUCUGCCCCCUCCCCCCGCCCCAUGAGUGAGCCCCCUUGCUGGCAGCUCCACCCGUGUCCCCAGCAACCCAGCUGACAAAGGCCGGGGGUGAGUGUCUGCUCCGUGGGAACACACCGCUCCGUGUGCAAGCACUUAAGAUGGAGCCUGGGCCUGUUGAGAGAGGCAAGUGCCCCACCGCUGCCCUGAUCUCCCCUCAACAAGCCCUCCCUGAGCCACGCUGAAAUUGCCACCCCAGCGAACGAGGAGGCCAGCAGAAGUGACAGCAGCAGCAAGACCCUCCCAGUGCUCCAGGGGUGCAGAGCAAGUGGCCAAGGCAGCAGGGUGGGAGUGCCCGCCGUGGGGUCUCUGCUCCCUGGAAGGGCACUGUGACACCACGAUGGCCUCCACCUGUGCCCGGCAGACCUGGAGGACAGUCAUCUGUCCGGCCUCGCAUCCCAGCCAACCGCAGAGCAGAGCUGCCUAACUCAACGCUUCCGUACUGCCACUCCCCAGUGACAGAGUGACGGCCAUGCACACAGCACCCCACCCCUUCACGUGCCAGAGGUCCUCAUCCUUGCGAGGAGACGCGGACUCUCUGCCCGUGCUGCACCGCCGCCUUCUGCAGUGUCACAGCCAGCCCUGGAAUCUGGUGCCGGAAAUUCUCCGACUGCCCUUCCUGCCUCUCCCUCUCUUCCUCCUCUCUCCUCUCCUUUUCUCUUUUCUUUUCUUUGCAUCCUUCUUUCUUUUCAGUAAUAAGGAUUGAGCCCAGGGUCUUUGCACUGACCUACAUUCCCAUCCUUUUUUUUUUCCUGUACUGGAAAUGGAACUCAGGACCUUGUGCUUACCAGGCAGGUGCACCACCACUGAGCUAAAUCCCCAGCCUUUGGGGUUUUCUUUUUGAGACAGGGUCUUGCUCUGUAGUUCAGGCUGUCCUUGAACCCACUGUGUAGCCCAGGCAGGCCUUGAACUCACAGCAAUCCUCCUGCCUCAGCUUCCCGGGUUCUGCAAUUACAGGUGUGUGCCACCUCACCCAGCUUUAUGUUUUGAGAAAGCGUCUUGUUAAAUUGUUGAGUUGCCCAAGCCGUGCUCAAACGUGUGACCCUCCGGCCUCAGCCUCCUGAGUGCUGGGAUCCCAGGAGUGUAGCUCCACGCCCAGCUGUAUGAUCUGCCCAAGUAACAGCUGCUACUGAAGACGACUACUUGGGAAUAGUGACUGAUGAGUGGAACAGGGCCGUGUGGCACCCAGGGAAUCGCUGGGCC